rnacentral:rRNA from 1 species
AGUGAACGCUGGCGGUAGGCCUAACACAUGCAAGUCGAACGGCAGCACAGUAAGAGCUUGCUCUUACGGGUGGCGAGUGGCGGACGGGUGAGGAAUACAUCGGAAUCUACUUUUUCGUGGGGGAUAACGUAGGGAAACUUACGCUAAUACCGCAUACGACCUACGGGUGAAAGCAGGGGAUCUUCGGACCUUGCGCGAUUGAAUGAACCGAUGUCGGAUUAGCUAGUUGGCGGGGUAAAGGCCCACCAAGCCGACGAACCGUAGCUGGUCUGAGAGGAUGAUCAGCCACCCGGGAACUGAGCCACGGUCCAGACCCCUACGGGAGGCGGCAGUGGGGAAUAUUGGCCAAUGGGGGCAAGCCUGAUCCGGCCAUACCGCGUGGGUGAAGAAGGCCUUCGGGUUUUAAAGCCUUUUUGUUGGGAAAGAAAAGCAGCAGGUUAAUACCCCGCUGUUCUGACGGUACCCAAAGAAUAAGCACCGGCUAACUUCGUG